rnacentral:tRNA from 1 species
GUGGUUUAGUGGUAAAAUUCAACGUUCCCAUUGUUGAGCCCCGGGUUCGAUUCC